AUUGAACGCUGGCGGCAGGCCUAACACAUGCAAGUCGAGCGGUAGAGAGAAGCUUGCUUCUCUUGAGAGCGGCGGACGGGUGAGUAAUGCCUAGGAAUCUGCCUGGUAGUGGGGGAUAACGUUCGGAAACGGACGCUAAUACCGCAUACGUCCUACGGGAGAAAGCAGGGGACCUUCGGGCCUUGCGCUAUCAGAUGAGCCUAGGUCGGAUUAGCUAGUUGGUGGGGUAAUGGCUCACCAAGGCGACGAUCCGUAACUGGUCUGAGAGGAUGAUCAGUCACACCUGAACUGAGACAACGUUCAGACCUCCAAGGGAGGGCGGCGUUGGGAAUUUUUGGCAAUUGGCGAAAGGCUUAUUCAGGCCAUGCGGGGGGGGGAAGAAGGGUCUUCGAUUUGAAAAGCCCUUUAGGUGGGAAGAAGGGCAGGUAAAUUAAUACUUUGCGGUUUUAAGGUUACCAACAAAAAAGGCACCGGCAAACUCGGU
rnacentral:rRNA from 1 species